CUCACACACUGCUUUAAAGUGUUGUGUUAACCUUUAAACUCCUAGGUCAGACUUUUAUUUUUUAGGCUGACCUCCUCCUUCUUAUGUUAAAAGGUAUAAAGUAAAGGGAUGUACAGGAAGCUCACUCAGGAAACAGGAAAGGUGUUUGCACACUCCUGCACAAUGCAGUUAUUAGCAGCUUGAAGAGGUUGUUGGGGAGGUUUAUGCUCAGAAGUAUUGUCACGGUAAUACAGAAAAUAGCUGGAGCUACAUUAUUAUCUUUUAAAAAGAGUGUCCCCAGGAAAUUGUCCAGAUAAAUGAAGAUGGAAAAAACAGGGUGACCUGCAAGGUUGAGAGGUCAAACCAUGAUGGGCGUAUCCACUGGUUUCAUGGAACAGUCAAUCUAACGAGCCAAUCAACCCAGGACAUAAAGUCUGCUGCUGAUGGAUCAUAUACAGUGGUUAGUUCUCUCAGUGUCAGUUUAAACUGGAAAACGUUUAACUGUUCUUACUGGGUACCUCAAAUUGAGCAAUAUAUAACAAGCAAGAACAUUGUUAUGGAAUAUAAUACACAGUCUAAGACAAAGUCUUUCAGCAGUGACAGUUGCAGUGGUCUGGUCUUCUGUUUGUGUCUCCUUUGGACUCUCAUUCAGCAAUAAUGGAAAUAAUGGUAGCAAUAACUCCAAAAAGCUCAUUUUGAACUUCAAUUCAGAUUAACAAACACAUUAACACACCACUCAAAUCUACACAUCAAAGAAACCUAUCUCAUGCCGAAGACUGCUUAGUCACAAUGAGGUAAUCAGGAGGAAGUAGGAUACACAGGCCUAUUAUUCCUACACACCAAAA
ensembl:lncRNA